ensembl:lncRNA
AACUUUAUUAUGUUGUAAUUUUAUUAUAUUGUAACUUUAUUAUGUUGUAACUUUAUUAUGUUGUAACUUUAUUAUGUUGUAAUUUUAUUAUAUUGUAACUUUAUUAUAUUGUAACUUUAUUAUAUUGUAACUUUAUUAUGUUGUAAUUUUAUUAUAUUGUAACUUUAUUAUNNNNNNNNNNUUGUAACUUUAUUAUGUUGUAAUUUUAUUAUAUUGUAACUUUAUUAUAUUGUAAUUUUAUUAUGUUGUAACUUUAUUAUGUUGUAACUUUAUUAUGUUGUAACUUUAUUAUAUUGUAAUUUUAUUAUAUUUUUUAAACCUUUAAAUCUAUAUUAAAGUUUGUGUGUGUUUUUAAGCCUUUGUUAAUUAUGAGUUCCGAGUAAUAACAAAUAAACAAAUGACAACAUUUAUAUGUGUAUAUGUAUAUAUAAAAUAAAAAUACGAAAAACGUAAACGAGUUUAAAAAUGUAUUAUAUUCAUUACUAUAAAAUUCAUUUUUUUUUUUUAUUUUGUUUUUAGUGAUGAAUCACCAUUCUCAUCUGGAAACUUAAAAAACAUAUUACAAAAUAAACAUAAACAGGUACAAGAUAAAUGGGAAAACUACGUCAAUGACGUUUUUGAUUUAACUCAUUGUGAUUUACAACAAGAAAAUGAUACAAUAAGUAUAAAAAAUAAUGAGGACAUAUCAAAUGAAAAUAUUUAUCCAUGUGUACCUAACUUUAGUAGUACAGAUAGUCAUGAGAAUAGUGAAGAUAGUGUAUCAAUCACCUCCUCCAGUGAUUUUUCUUACGUUGUAAAUAAAACAGCGCAUAUGUCUAAUAUAUUAAAUAAAUACUUUUCAACCGAUAUAUACGAUGAAAAUAGGUUUUCUGGAUGUACUAAAACGCUUGCUAGUAUGGUUAAACAAAAAAAAGUAAAAGUAAGCAGUCCAUUUGAUGGUAACCGCAUUAAUCAUUUUGGUAUUAAAAAUAUAAAUCGGUUUGUCGACAAUGACGUUAAACUAAAAUUUGUUAAUAAUUUAAUUGAUUAUUAUAGAAAACUGCAGAAUUCAAAAGGAAACAUUGAUGAUGGAAUUAAAAAAAACUCUAAAGAAAGUAAUACAAAUGAAACAAAGAAUACGAAUAGUGAUAACUCUACAGAAGCCCCAACUUUGAACAAAAGGAGUAACAGCAAAAUUUUCGAAUCUCAACUUGAAAAAAUAAACAUAAAUUAUAACUUAAAUACAAAAAAAAUAGAAAACACAAAUAAAAAUGAUAAGAAGUUAGAUGUAGGAACAUAUAUAAAAGCUGUUGAAUAUAAUAAAGCUAUUGAAUAUAAUAAAGCUAUUGAAUAUAAUAAAGCUGUUGAAUGUAAUCAAGCGGUUGAAUAUAAUGGACAAGUAAAUAAAACAAUAGUUAACAACAGAAAUAAAUUAGAUACUAGUAUAAAAAGUGCAAAUUUUUUUUUAAAAAACAAUAAAAGCAUAAACAUGUUGAGUAAUGAAAAAGAAACUGUAAAUGAUGAGAUAGCAAAAGUGAUAACAACGACCGAAAAAAAAACAAAUAAAAACCUAAAACAUGUGUUUUUGCAAAAUUCUAAUGAAAAAUUAAAAAAUCAUAAUAAUUUUAUUUCGGUAACUAAUAAAUGUUCUGAUUUUGGUAAAAAUGAAAAAGAAAUUGAAGUUAGGACAUGCAUGGAUGAACAGAACAAUGACAAAAAGGAUAAGGGAAAAAGGGGUAAGGAAAAAAUAGGUAAGGAAAAAAUAGGUAAGGAAAAAAGAGGUAAGGAAACAAAGGACAGGGAAGAUAAAAUAAUUUCGAACAAAAUGGACUCUAAAAGAAAAAAUAAAGAUUGCAAAACUAAAAAAACCUGCUUAAACGUAAAAAAUAAUAAUGAAAAAAUGUUGAAUAGUAAAAAAAAGAAAAAUAUAGUUAAUUCUGCUGUUAAUUAUGCUGUUAAUUCUGCUGUUAAUUAUGCUGUUAAUUCUGCUGUUAAAUUGAAAAAAAAAAAAAAGGUUAACAUUAAUUUUGAUAAAAUGACAGAAACUAAAACAGAGAUGUUAAAAAAUGGAUUAAUUGUAAGUGAAAAGCAAAUAUAUCUAAAAAAAGAAAGUCCUAAAAAUACGUAUAGUCUUACCACAGAUUUUACAAAAAGUAUGUAUAAAUAUAAAAAUAAAAAUGUAAAAUUAGAUCAGAAUGAUAAUAAUAAAAUAAUAAGAAAUAAAUUAUAUUUGCUCUCCAAAACAGAAUCAUCAAAUCUACAAUCAAAUAAUGAUAAAAACUACAGUAGUAGUAGUAGUAGUAGUAGCUGUUAUAAGUUUACUCCUAAAGAAAUUAUUAAAACGCCUAAGACUAAAAAAGGUAUUUCUGAAAUUUUUAUAUCGUCUACAAAUCAUCUUAAUCCUUCUGUAGAAAACAGUAAUAUACAAUCUAGCCUAUUAUUAAGUACCGACAAAGAAAAUACAAAAAAAAAUACUUCUUCUAACAUUGAAAAAUCGUACUUUGUAAGAAAUGAUUUUUCUUUUUCUUCUUCUAAAUUUUUACAUUGUCAUAAAACUAAAACUUAUCCCAGUAGUAAAUAUAAAAGUGAUCUUAUUAUGUAUAGUACACAAGAAAACGACAAAACUAUUAAAAGUUGUUUGUUUUAUAAUGAUAUAAAAAGCAAAAACACAAAGAACAAACAUGUUGUAUAUUAUAAGUAUGAGAAAAAGACAACUAAAGGCGGUAAACAAAGUAAACCAUGUAAUAACACGAAUAUUGAUAAUGACAAUGACAGUGGUAAUGACAGUGGUAAUAAUAAUUACAAGAAUAAUAGUGAUGAUUUGGAUAUACUUGAAGAUUAUAAAAAAGACCUGAGUUUGCAAAAUUAUGAGUAUUUAAACGAUGUUAAUAAUUUAAAAAAAAAACCAUUAAAUAUUUUUAAUUCAUAUGAUAAAAAAACAAACAAUAGUUAUAAUAAAGAUGACCACACUGGUAAAUUAGGACCCAACUCACAUCACAAGCAAAAAUUGGAAAAUAAUAAUAAAUACGACAAUAAUGGGUACAACGGUAACAGAUACAGUUAUGAAAAGAUGUGUGAUCGCGUUGAAAGUUCAGUAUUAAAAUUAUUUUACGAAGCUUAUGUGAACAGGAAACGAAAUAAACAUAAUACAGAAGAUAUACAUGAACCCACUUUGGAUUAUACGAAACGUGUCAUAAUCAAUCAAAGAACUAGAACCAAACAUGAACCACAGUAUGAUUAUAAAAAAUAUAAAAAAGAAUAUAUGAUUGAAUUAAUUGACAUUUUAAAAGGAGUGAAUACAUAUAAAAAAAGGAGUAAUAUACAACAAACGCAGAACUGUAGAUAUUUAUAUCCAUGUAAUGUACACUAUAAAAAUGUUUUACAUUUAAAACAUAUACCAUGCUUCAAAAACACAUCUAACGAAAUAAAUAAUAAAAAAAAAAAUAGCCAUAAUUUAGAAAAAUGUGUUGAUAAUUAUAUAACUAUGCGUAAAUAUAUAAGAAAAGAAAUUUAUAAAAUAUUAAAAAUGAGUAAGCACGAUAGUAAGAUACGAAGUAUAUUAACGUUUAUGGUUAAUUAUAUACAGAUGAAUGGUUCGAGUUUUGUUAUGUCGGAUAUUAUUGUUGAUCCAACAGGACGUGAUAAAAACACGAAUAAAACUAAUGUAUACGUUACUAAAAAUGAUAAAAAUAAAAAAAAUGUAACAGUACAUGAUAAAAUUAAAAAAAAAAAAAGAGAGAGAGAGAGAGAGAGGGAGAGAGAAAAAAAAAAGCAUUUGGUAGUACAAUAUAGUACUGAAAGGAAAGAGUUUUUAUCUGGUAGUGAGUGUGAAAAAAUGUAUGUUAAUAAUGUACCUAAACAUUUACCUUUGACUAUGUUAAUUGUUAAAAACUUUGAAGAAAAACAGGAAAAGUUAAAAGGUGUUAAAAAAUACACUGUCAAUAACACUCAAGUCCAAUAUCAAGUAAAAUUAGUUGGUACAGAUAAAAAAAAAAUAAAAGAAAAUCAAAAAAUUAUAAAAAAUGAAGUUGGUUUAUUUAGUAGAAUAGAACAUAUAUACAAUAAUGUUGGAGAAGUAAAACGUAACAUAAAUUAUGACAAUAAUAUUGUAAACAGGUAUAUUCCAUUCCCAAAUAUAGCUACUAGUUAUAUUCAAAGAUGUAAUACUAGUGACUAUAUGAAAUCUUCUUUAACUGAAAUAAAAAAUAAGGAACAGGAGUUGGUUACUAUGACCAAUGGUAAUAAUAGUGACACUGGAAAAAUAGAAAAAAGUAAUAAAAAUAAUAAUAACACUUUUUUUAAUUUAAAAUAUGUAUUAAACAAAAAAAAAAAUUUGAAUUAUAUGAAGAGUAGUAUGAAAAGCUGUACGAAGAGCUGUAUGGAGGUUAAUUAUAAAUAUAAACCACAGACGGUAAAUACAAAAAAUUGUUUUUUAGUCAAAUCGAAAAGUAAUGAUGUGAUUUAUAAAAAUAUUGAUUUAAAAAAAAAACGUAUGAAACAAAUUACGUUUUUAGAUAGUAAAAGUAAUAUUUGGGAUUUAUUAAAUAAAAAAAUAUUACAAAAAAAGAGUAGAAAUAAAAAAGUUAACGAUAGGAAUAAUGUUAAUGAUAGGAAU